ACUGGAGGCCGUUUUAUCAACAGAUCUUAGCAUGAUCUUACGUAAGAUUCGUAGGAUUUUGUCGUACGCUUAUCGUAAGUACUGCGUACCGUUUUAUCAAAGAAAUCGCAGCUAAGAUGUCGUAAGAUUUGUGCUUAAAGCUACGACUGGGUAAGACCACACUUAGCGUUCGUAAACAUGGCGGCCGCACGCGCUUUAAACGUUGGUCAACCAAGAGAGAUGAGAAUGUUUCGAGAAAGAAAGGAUUUAGCGAUCUCCGUGAUGGAGAAAUAUUGAUACUAUUGGACGUAUUUAUGUUUGAUAACGUUAAAUAUAUUCGUUAUAUCAUUCUCUGCAUUAAACGUCCAAGGGAAAUGAAACUUGUGAUGUUUGGAUAAUUAAUUCGUUAAAUAGGUUCAUUGAGAUUGUGUCAAAAUGGCUUGGGUCAACACACACGACGCCUCUGUCUUUGUCCGUGGUUUGAAGACUUUUCUGGAAGAAAACCACAAGAGACACCUACUGGGGGACUCCGGCUAUCAACAAUAGGUACAACAAUGCCCAGUCAAGUGUACUGUGGUUGAUAGGGCUUUUGGACUGCCAAAGAGUAGAUUUAGGUAUGUAAACUUACUACAUGUAUGUUUAUUUAGUUCAAAACAGUUAAACACAUUCAGUUAAUCAACAUAAGACACCAUUUAAUAAGCACAAAAUAAAUCUCCCCACAAAAUAUUGGAUAAAAAGUGUGAUGCUUUA